GGCGCGAGCGCGUCGCGUUCCUUAUUCAAACAAAGCUUACUUUGUUCGAAGAUUCCACUGAUCCGAUCGCGCGUUUAAGAUUUAUUCGCCGAUCGUGAAACUCUUUUCAUCCUUCUAACUCUAUCUCUUUCUCUUUCUGGAGUGAUUGACUCUAACAAUGACAACCCUUGCUGGCACGCGUCAACGGCCAUCUUUGUUUUUAUUCUCACUUCGAACUUUUCAAUAAGCUUUUCUCUUCGUUGCUUAACAUCAGCUUCAUAAACAUCGAUUAAAAUGAAAUUUCAUCGGAGAAUCAUUACAGAAUUGUAGAAAGAAUGUUCAUAACGUGAUCGUUGGUAGGAAUGAAAUUCAACCCUUUCGAGGUUAACCGUGUCGGCCGAUGCGUUGUGAACCUUUCGGUUAAUUACAGACGAGUAUACAUAGACAUUGUACCAUUCUUUCGGCUGGUUCAAGUCCGCGAAUUUCGUUCAAUAUAAAUGCAAACCGAUUGAAAGAAUGACAGAAAGAAAGUGAAAGAGAGAGAGAGAGAGAGAGAGAAAGAGAUAAAUAUAUGAGUGAGAAAGAGAAGCUUGGCGACAGACAACGAGAAGUUGGUAACUUAACUGGCCUAAAUGGGUUUAACUCGAUGUGAUUUUGCUGGUGAACCACUAAAUUGAACGAAUACGAACUAAACCGAACUCAACUAAGCUAAUCAUAUCACAUUACUAGCGUUAUUAGCCGAGCGACGAUAUAAGUGAAGGUCCGGUGAUGGCUCGCUGCAGUACCGGGUCGCCUCCUGCACUGACCCUCCGCGCGUCUCUCCUUCCAUUUUUUGGGGAAUUUUAUUUGUUUUCUUCUUUCUAUUAGUUUCUCUCUUCCUUCUUUGCUGUUUAGUUUUCUUUCUUUCUUUUUUUUCUUAAACCGACUCGAUCCGAAUCACCUACGACAACUAUCGGAAAAUCUCUAUUCUUAUAUAAAAAAAAAAGAUACUGAUUUGUUUUGGAUCAUUUCAACGGCUAGCAAGAAAGAAAAUAAGGGUAAGAGUAAGAAAAAGAGAAACAGAAAGGGAAAGAAAAAAAAAGGAGAAGAAAAAGAGGAAGAGAGACAUACGCAUCAGUUAGAUUUUAUUCCUUCGAAGAUCUUCAAACUUGUGAACAACUUCGUGCGUUUCGCGCCACCCCGAAAUCAGCCGAACAUGACCGAAGGUAUGUCGACCGCGCUUAUGGUAUAACUAUGUACCCGCAGUGUGCACACUGUUAGGAUCGACCAAUUGAGCCUGUUAACGUCAAUUGAUCUAAAUUGCUUCAAUUGGACAUAAUUGCGCGAAGGCGACGGGGAACCUCCGCUGUUACUACUCACCAACUAUAUUCCACGUUUAUCUCUGCACGCAAAUAUCUUUUCGUCUCAAAUUUAAACAUUCUCUAUCUAUCUUUCUCUUUCAUCUGCAAUAAUUUAUAUACUUUUAAAUACUUACCAUACCAUUAAUUGUUAUUCUUUUUUAUUUUCUCAUUAAUUUAUGAUACAAUGUGUGUUAUGGGAUCGAUAAGAUAGAAAUAUAUUAAUCAUAUUUCUUUUUUUUUUUUUUUUUUAAAUUGUUUAACAAAUUAUUUCAUUUUUAUAUUUAAAAAUAAUCAAUGAAAACGGAAUAUAUAAGAUACCGAAUAAGCUAUAUUUUAUUACUAAUGUUUAGGAUAAUAAAUUGACUUUAUUCCAG